rnacentral:rRNA from 1 species
UACCAGCACCCCGAGUGGUCGGGACGUUUAUUGGGCCUAAAGCAUCCGUAGCCGGCUCUACAAGUCUUCCGUUAAAUCCACCUGCUCAACAGAUGGGCUGCGGAAGAUACUAUGGAGCUAGGAGGCGGGAGAGGCAAGCGGUACUCGAUGGGUAGGGGUAAAAUCCGUUGAUCCAUUGAAGAACACCCGUGGCGAAGGCGGCUCUCUGGGACGGUACUGACGCUGAGACGCGAAAGCGUGGGGAGCGAACAGG